rfam:Nematostella vectensis strain CH2 x CH6 NEMVEscaffold_39_Cont6465, whole genome shotgun sequence.
GGCUCAGUGGUCUAGUGGUAUGAUUCUCGCUUCGGGUGCGAGAGGCCACUGGUUCUAUUCCCGUCUGAGCCC